UACGUAGGGUGCAAGCGUUGUCCGGAAUUAUUGGGCGUAAAGAGCUCGUAGGCGGUCUGUUGCGUCGGCUGUGAAAACCCGGGGCUCAACUCCGGGCCUGCAGCCGAUACGGGCAGACUAGAGUUCGGUAGGGGAGACUGGAAUUCCUGGUGUAGCGGUGAAAUGCGCAGAUAUCAGGAGGAACACCGGUGGCGAAGGCGGGUCUCUGGGCAUUACCUGACGCUGAGGAGCGAAAGCAUGGGGAGCGAACAGG
rnacentral:rRNA from 1 species